GAUGAACGCUAGCUACAGGCUUAACACAUGCAAGUCGAGGGGCAGCGGGAUUGAAGCUUGCUUCAAUUGCCGGCGACCGGCGCACGGGUGAGUAACGCGUAUCCAACCUUCCGUACACUCAGGGAUAGCCUUUCGAAAGAAAGAUUAAUACCUGAUGGUAUCUUAAGCACACAUGUAAUUAAGAUUAAAGAUUUAUCGGUGUACGAUGGGGAUGCGUUCCAUUAGGUAGUAGGCGGGGUAACGGCCCACCUAGCCAACGAUGGAUAGGGGUUCUGAGAGGAAGGUCCCCCCACAUUGGAACUGAGACACGGUCCAAACUCCUACGGGAGGCAGCAGUGAGGAAUAUUGGUCAAUGGACGAGAGUCUGAACCAGCCAAGUAGCGUGCAGGAUGACGGCCCUAUGGGUUGUAAACUGCUUUUAUAAGGGAAUAAAGUGAGUCUCGUGAGACUUUUUGCAUGUACCUUAUGAAUAAGGACCGGCUAAUUCCGUGCCAGCAGCCGCGGU
rnacentral:rRNA from 1 species